CUCUACUAAACAUAGAAAAAUUCAGUCUUCCUUCCUAGCCAUGGAAGAGCAUAUUCUUGUUUAUUGGCAAAGCUGUCACCAUUUAAUGGGUAUCAGAUUCUGACUUGCACAAGUCACAUUC
ensembl:snoRNA